UUUAAAAAAAAAGCCAAACAUGUCCCUUUUGGUUUGAUUAAAUUGUAUAUGUUGCUUGUGCAGGUGCAUACUGCAUAACACGAAUGGAUGAGGAUAUGAUACGCAAGGCAACCACCAUGUUGAUGUCGAUAUAUGGGUACCCCUGUGGAAACAAAGCAACUCAAACGCGUAUCAGAUGAAGAAGGAACUGCAGUUUCUGGAAGAAAUCAAGAAAUUUUCAAUAUUUGACAGUGUGAUGGCAAGAAGUACAGUAUUGCAGCAAGGAUAUCUUGUCCAUAAGCUACAUGAUUGUGAUUUGGCAUUUGACCAUUGGAGCUCCCGCGCCGCUGCUGAUAUAUGCAUUUGUGAAAGACUGACUGGCCACUUAGAAGUCCAUGAGUUCCAGAGCUGCCAAGUGCCAACGAGCAGAGCCACUGCUCUAAUAGGAACUUGUGAUACAGUACUUGACAGAAUUUAGGAUUCAUCGCCAUCAGCAGCAGUGUGGAAUCCUUGAAGCACUGCUGCUAGGAGGAAAGGAGAUGACUGGCACAGAACCCCUUGACGUGAGCUCUCAAUUCAUGGAAGACGACGACCAAAGUGGCCUCAGACCUAAUCCAACCAAACCUCUCUGAUUUUGUGAACGUGACUCCUGAUCACUUUUCAACAUCUGUUGAACUUGUGUAACACGCUGUGGUGUGAACAAGCGUGACAGGCACGCACCGAGUACAGGCCGACCGACCGACCAACCCAUUGGUAGCUGCACCAUGUACGGAUGCACCAGCUGCCACUACUCUCUCCGUUACAACUGGUGCAUUCUUCUUUACAACGUUGUUUGCUCACAGUUGCUCGAGUAAAUUCAUCAUCACUGGGCAGGAAAAGACGUGCGUUUGGCAUAUCAUGGUCUCUACCACCACCAUCUCCACUUCAUAUAAAUGGCCAAAUGGGACUGGGAGAUCACACAGCAUGGAAAUGGUUGGUUCGCAACUUGAUCUGUUAACGGACGCUGGUAUUUCCCUCUCGAUUUCUAUGGGCGUUUAACUGUUUACUGUGGUGAUAGCAAUCUCUACUUGUCUAGUAGCAAUUUACUUACCAAGCUAGCGUCACAGCGGGCGGCUUCAGUUGAUGCCAGUAAUUAAGCCGGUGAAGGACUAACGAAUUGAACCACCCCAACAACUGCAACAGUGAUCGAUGUUUAAAAAAUAAAUCUCUUCAUCUCAAAAGGUCGCUUCUGAUUAGUUCAGCAGUGGCCUAAUUUCUGGCUGCACUCCGUUGUUUUCAGCGUGUGAUCGAUGCAGAAAAGUUUCAGCUGCAUGCUGUCCGAAUGAAGAUAUUUUACUCGCGUUUCGUGCCGAGUUGGCGUCAUCAGCCACGGAUUUGCCACUUGCCGAAUCAAAACGAUGGUGGAGGGCAAAGGGAUGAGUUGGUUGUCGUUCAAGAAAGAAAAGGCGUUCCAUUGUAACAAUCGUCGUUUCUGAUAAAGGAGUAGAGUGAAAGCACUGUAACGUUUCCGUUAAAAAAAAAACACUGUAACGCCAUCAAAGUUUUUCAUCUAGAUCUUCUUGUGAUUCCGUAUAGAUAUAGACUGAUAGGAUAACAAUUCCGAAGUCUGAACUUUGCGUUGCUUUCGGGGCUUGCAUGGCUAUGUAGUACUAAGUAGUAGUAAGCAACUAAAACAGUGCACUGCAGCAACUCCAUCUCA